UACAGAGGUGGCAAGCGUUGUUCGGAAUUACUGGGCGUAAAGGGCGAGUAGGCGGCCUUCUAAGUCAGACGUGAGAUCCCCCGGCUUAACCUGGGAACUGCGUCUGAUACUGGGAGGCUAGAGUAUGGGAGAGGGAUGUGGAAUUCCAGGUGUAGCGGUGAAAUGCGUAGAUAGCUGGAGGAACACCGGUGGCGAAGGCGGCAUCCUGGACCAUAACUGACGCUGAUCCGCGAAAGCUAGGGGAGCAAACGGG
rnacentral:rRNA from 1 species